UUAUUUAUAGACUUGAAGUUGCUUAAGUGCUCACACAAAUUGCUUGAUGAUUUUAUUGUUUAGAGAGACUGAUAUUUGUUCUUUAACAAUGUGGUAAAAAGUAUAAGUAAAGAUUCCUUGAUUAAUUUAGGGUUAUUUUUAUUUUCGAUUGAGAUGUAUUUUUAUGUUUUGAUUGAUAAAUGGGAAUAAUUUUUAGUUUAUUUAAUUAACGAGUCUUGGUAAUUUUUGAAAACCGGUGUUGAGAUAUAGUUUUGAUUGGUUUUAGUAAUAGAUUUUAGAUUUAUUGAUAUAAGACUUUUUGGGGUAAUAUCAA
rnacentral:misc_RNA from 1 species